rnacentral:lncRNA from 1 species
GUGGGAGUGGGAGUGGGAGUGGGAGUGGGAAUGAGUACAGGAGUAUUAAUGGGAGUAGGUGUGGGAGUGGUUGGAGGAGUGGGUGUGGGAGUGGGUGUAGGUAAGGAUGUGGGUUUUGGAGUAAGUGUGAGAGUGGGAACGGGAAUGGAAGUGGAUGUGGAAGUGGAUGUGGGUGAGGGUGUGGCAGUGGGAGUGGCAGUGGCAGUGGGAGUGAGAGCGAAAGCAAAUAAGCAAUUGAAGCACAAGUAAAUAAAAACAAACAAAGGCACAAAAAUCUAAGUAGAAGAAACGAAAGCAGGAGAAUCAAGAAAACAAGCAAUACAAGAGAACAGAAAGGAAAAGUAAACAAUAAGAGAAUAAAAGAAAGAAAGAAAGAAAGAAAGAAAAAAAUCAUGCAGAGCGAACUCGGACAAAGACACUUGGGAUGAAAUAUUUUACGUCCGUCGGCCCUUUGGAAUCACCCAGAAGUUACGUUUACACUUCACUACGUGUUAAAAAGGUAUGGAAAUUACAGACUGAGUCGAUGUUCGUAGUUUUAGUCGCUAUACGUGAUGGGCUUAUUGUUUGUUACCCUUUUGUGAAAAAAGGAUUUCAAAUUUCUUUUUUUUUUCUUGAUUUUUUUGUUGAUGUUGUUAUUCAAUUUGAUAUCAUUUCGCGUGAGUGUUGAAAAUGUCAUGGGGAAAGAAUGUUUUUUUUUUUUAUAUAGAUUAACUGCUUACUUGAUUUUGAUAUGUGUGAUAAUUAAAGUGAGUUAUAUUACCUCCCAUUAACCAUUUUAUUUAACGCACGUAAUCUUAACAAAUUUUAAAAUUUAAGGUCUGUUCUCUUUUUCCACCUUGCUACAGGUUCCCCGUAUCCUUCCAUUUCCUAGUAGUCUCUCCUGCUUAUUAAAACGACGCUGAACCUCACCCCAUUAUGGCAACAAAAAGGAUAUUGUGCCCGCCCGAUAUUGUUUGUCUUACCCUGGUUUCAUCACCCGCGUUUAAUCUUCAUCAGCGGGAAAUACCAGCGAAGGUGUUCAAUUAAAACGAAGAUGGUUCCCAUAAUAUGAUGUGUUUUGAAAAAGACUGUUUAGAGUGUGCGUUUUUUUUAAAUGCUCCCGUUCUUAGGUGUGUUUUUAAUGUUGAUUUUUUUUAUACCCUAAGAUCGUGGAUAGUGAAUGAUGUAAUCCUUUGCGGACGUUUGUAGUAUGUAUAUUGUAGGGUUGAUAGCGUUAAAAAUUGAGUGUGUAUGUGGGGAGCCAGGACUAAGUUCUUGUAAGAUUAUAUUUAUGUGAGCAACCAUUUAUCAGUGUAUUUGUGUAUAGUGAUUUUCUUGGCUUCUUCACUUGAAUUUCGUGAUGCGUAGUCGCAUUAACAAUUCGUUAAAAAAGUGUUAAAAUUCAUUAUUGUGAGUGAGUUUUAUGAACUGUGGGACGUUAUGAAAAUUGCUUACAAAUUUACGAGAAGAGACAAAAUAUUUUAGAGUGAAAGAGCAAAAAUGAAAAACGGAAUAAAUAGAUGAAUGAUUAUUACAAAAGUGAAUAAAAGAAAACAAAAUAGAAAGGAUUCGACAAUUGAAUCAUGUCUGCAUGAAAAGUAUUUUAGUAAAUUAUUGCACCAGAGAUUCGUAAAGUCAGAAUGUCUCUUCAUAAUACCUCAGAAAUAUGAUACCUCAGAAAUAUAUUCAGAUUCGUGUACAAUAGUGAAAUCCUCUGUACGCCAAAGUGAGAUUGCAAGAUUAUUAAUUAUAAAGGAAUCAUAAUGUUGUGAGACAGGGCUCUCUAGUACUUGUGAUAAUGAGUGAGAAAGGAAACUCAUUUUUUUCUUUUAUUCUUAAAAAACAGUUAUUUUUAGUCUCUAUGAUCUAUGACAAUAUUUCAGAAUUGUGGAUAUAUCUGCACUGACGCAUUAGAGAUUUGAAUGGUUGGUGUAUGUAUUUUGUUUAGCAUUGUUGCAAGAAUGUAUGCAACUGAUGAUAUUAAAACACGUGUGUUAGUUUUACGAAUAUUUUGACCCCAUCAAAAAAGUUAGAAAAAUAUUGUAUACAAAUACUUUAAGUGUACCAUGUAAAGUUUGGAUUUAUUUUAAUUGUAUAUGUGAUUGAUAUAAUAUGAAUUUAAUUUGAUUUAUCAAUGCGAUUGAUUAUAAAUAAAGCGGUGUGCAUCAAUGAUUAUAUUCAAUUUAAGGUUGUAUAUGAGUGAAUAAAUCUUUACAUUUAAAGUCAUUAAUAUCUAAGACAAUUUGAAAUUUACACAUGUCUCAUUUUGUAGCGAAUGAUCUAGUCUUGAAUGCUUUGUACAAACGAUUUAUAUAAAAUGAAUAUUGUACAUAACAAAUAUAUUUUACCUGACUUUGAA